CUGCUGCCCCGCGAUCGCUAAGGAAUGCGGCGACUCCGCAUAACCACGGGGUCAGAGGUCACGGCUCCGGCCUCCGCUUUCCCGCUCUGCUGAGGGACCGAGACAGGACCGGCGGCGGGGCGGGAGGGCGAAACGCGGCUUUCCCUUCGGCGCCCGGGUGUGUGCGUGUCUGCCGUGGGUGUGUGUGAGUGUGUGUGAAGAGUGAGGAGGGGGAGUGUGGGGUUUUUUUUUUUUGAACAAAAACAAACCGAAAGGACGGCUGGGAGUCGUAGUCCCAGCGGCCUCUCUGGCCUGCCCCGCUCCGGAAGAAUAUGGCCGUGUGAAGGGCGUGGACCACACUUCCCGGCGUGCCCCGCGGCCCCCUUCCGCUCUCCCUCUGGCGUCCUCCGCCUAGCACCGACCUCAGCUAGGAACGGGGACGCAUCGCUGUUCGGGGAAGGGGCUGGGUAGAGUCUCGCGAGGUGCGGGAACUGGCUGGGUGCCUGAGGGAUUCUGGGAGGCGAUGCUGGGAAGGGGCGGUGGCUGGGCUCCCCCGGCCGCCCUUAACCCCUUAGGUGCUUUUUGCCUCAGGACCUCCGGGCGGGUGCGGGUGGGAAGUGAAGAUGGGGAGCUCGACUCGCAGCUCCCACUUCGUGCUUCUCCUCGCCUAAAUGGUUCUCACCUAUACUUCUCGUAGGGGACGAGAGGCAGGACUUUCCCUUUAGGUCCCCCCUAAAUGACUCACUGCCACAUAAUAAUGAGACAGAAAGACCCUCAUACCAGUAAAACGGUUAUUCCACGGUUGAUGGACUUUGACGGUUCCUCAUUUCCUCCUAUGCUUUCAGGCCGCUGUUUAUUUGCAGAGCCUGCGUUCUUACCACUUGAGGAACUUGGUGAUACGUUGACGGGUCGCAUAAAGGACUUGGACUCUGGGGCCAUACUGACUAGAAUGCACCUGAGUGCGUUUUUAGAGGCAGUACCCUGGAGAGAACUCAGGCCCUGGAGUCCAACGGACCUAGACUGGAAUCUUGGCUGAGUCACUCCCUGGCUGUCCACUCAACCUGAGCCUCAGUUUUCUGAUCUGCAUUUGUCUUGUAUUUCAUGGCAUUAUUGGAAUUAAAAUUAACAUAAAAUUCUUGACAGAUUGGAAGAGGAUGUGAAGGGAGAUCUUGACAUUAUUAGGUUCGCAUGAUUUGGCGCCUGGCAUAGAGUAAAUGUUUAAUAAAUGGUGGCUGUUAUUACCAGGUGAGAGACAAUGGGCAAUGUACUUAGCUUCUCUGAGCCUUAGUUUCAGAACCUGAAAUGAAAUUGAGAGCGCCCAGCACAUAGGUUUUCUGUACCUAUAGGUUCAGUCGUUGUCCAGAAACAUUUCUAGAUUCCGUCUUGAGUUGGAUUGAUGCCAGCUCUUAAAAACCGUGAAGGCAGGAUCAGUGGCCACAUGUAAAGGUUUCCCUGGGUGAGGAAACACACCCCCCACUCCCUAAUGUUAACAGGUAGCAAGAGCCAGUAUUGACAGGAGACCAUUAUGGUGUAGCCCAAACUCUAAUGCCAAGGGGUUCAAUGUUCUGCUUCUAAUACUGGUCACAGAAAACUUUUGAGUCUGGUAAGCAAAAUCCUACAAAUGGAAAAGACUGCAAAGUUAGAAUAAGACACCUCUUAAAAUCUCUCUAGCUCUACCCUGAGAGAAAGGAGGAACUACCGUCCCCCAGAAAACUGUUUGACUUGAUUUUUUACAAAGGAUUUUUAGCUUUUUUUUUUUCCAAUCUACAACUGAUACAGUACUCUUUGGCAAGUCAUUUGGCUUCUUUCAGAUGUCUUCUGAAGUAGCUUUACUCCCCUCUGACCUACAGGGAAUAACUGAAAUUUACAUGUUUAAUACAGGCACUGUGGUAGACAGAAUAAUGUCUUCCCCUCUUGCUCAAAACUGUCCAAGCCCUAGUCCCUGGAACCUGUGAAUAUGUUGUUUUUUUGUUUUUUGAGACAGAGUUUGGCUCUGUUGCCCAGGCUGGAGUGCAGUGGCGUGAUCUUGCCUCACUGUAACCUCCGCCUUCUGGGUUCAUGCGAUCCUCCUGCCUCAGCCUCCCAAGUAGCUGGGAUUACAGGCAUGUGCUACCGCACCCAGCUGAUUUUUGUAUUUUUAGUAGAGACAGGGUUUCCCCAUGUUGGCCAGGCUUGUCUUGAAUUCCUGACCUCAGGUGAUCCGCCCAUCUCAGCCUCCCAAAGUGCUGGGAUUACAGGUGUGAGCCACUGUGCCCAGCCAGCAUUCUUUAGCAAAAGAUACUUUGCCAGUGGAAAUAAAGCCCUUAAAAUAAGAUGAUUCUGUAUUAUCUGGGUGACCCCAAUGUAAUCACAUGAACCCUUAAGAGCAGAAGAGGGAGGCAAAAGAGAUGUCUUGGAGAGAUGAAGCAGAAGAAUUAAAUUCAAAGUAUGAGAGGAACUCAGCCCACUGUUGCUGGCUUUGAAAGUGGCCAUAAGCCAGGGAAUCCAGGCAGCUUCUAAAAGCUGAGAGGAAGUCCUGCCAAGAGCCAGCAAGGAAAUGGGGACUUCAGUCCUAUAACCUCACAGAGCUGAAUUCUGACAACCUGAAUGAACUUGGGAACAGAUUAUACCCCCUCCCCAACUCUCCAGAAAGGAAUAUAGACGCCUUGAUUUCAGCCUUGUGACACUGGAAGCAGAGAAUCAGCUGAGCCAUGGAAUCCAGACAUCGGGCCCACAAGAAGUGUGAAACAGAAUUGAAUAUUGUUUUAUGACACUAAAUCUGUGGUAACUUCUUACAGCCCCAAAAGAAAGCUAAUACAGGCAUUAUGGGAACACCUUUCUUUCAGCGAACACUGCCUGACUUCAGUUGGGUCAAACCAUGGGGGAAUCCAGAUGUGAAUAUUUCAAGGUCUCUGCCCUUGCAGAAUCAAACAGAAACAAAUGACAACAUCAUAGUUAAGUGUGAAAACAGAAUAUGUUCAGAGAACUGUACAGAUGUGUUAGAAAGUUGGCUUUAGUCAUUAAACAUUAAGUAGAUGUGAUUUUUUAAAGUUAAUGAGAUUCAUGAGUUUAUUUUCUUGUCAGAAGCACCAACAGACAAAACAGUUGGUGUGUGUUUUUCUGUUUUUUAAUCACAGUGCUUUUAUUAUAGAUUAUCUUCAGAAGUUAGUGCAGGUGGCAUGUGGAACAUAAACAGGACGGAUACUCAACACUGCCUAGUUUGGGGAUGAGUCACUGUUUUCAAACUGCACAGUUAUGAGCAAAGUGCAUAUUCAAGAACCAAGUUAACAGGCCACCAGCAGACACCCAGGAAUUCCCAGCGGGACACAUAUAUCCCAUGAACUGCACUGCAAAAUAAUAAUAUUAUCAUUUGCUCUGCACACCAGCAGGCCUGGGUUUGAAUCUCUGCAGUCUUUCUCCAUCCAGCUCUGUGGCCUUGGGCAAGUUAUGAAACCUCUCGUUGACUCAUUGCCGUCAUUUGGACAGCAGGAUACAUAGCAAAUUCAAAGAAUGGAACUGAGAUUAAAUGAGAUCUUUGUAAAGUGCCUAGCACAUAGUAGAUACUAAAUACCAGCCCUCUUUGCCUCCAAAACGUUUUAGUGUCUAAAGUGUAAAAUGUGCCUCAUUAUUUAUACUUUGAGUGAACCAAACCUUGGAACAGGGUUUGCUCCUGUAACAAAUGUUCUCACUCAAUAAUAAUAUCCCCAUUUUCAAAUGAAGCUGAGGUUCAGAGAGGUCAGAUUACCUCCCCUGGGUCCAGAAGAUUAAAUGAGAUUACAUUUGCUAAAUAAACUUCCAGCAUAACAGAUGAUCAGUACGUGUAUAGCUCUCCUUGUCCCUCCCACAUUUAAUUUCUUCAUGUGACUUUGGUUUAGUGAUUGUGUUCAUGCUACUAUCUUUGGUUUCAUCAUCAUAUCCCCAAUGCCUGGCACAGCCCUGGCACAUGGUAGGCACCCAAUCUGUUGAAUAAAUGACCCAAUCUCAAUAAUUACUUUAUUGGAGAAACUCUCUGAAGACUAAUUUCCCUUUGAAUGAGGCCCAAACAAUGUUUGGAACCUGCUCAGGGAGAAUCGGGAAAGACUAAGACAAGACUUCACCCAAAUAUACCUGUGCAAGUUAUAAAGAUGCUCAUGGAUAGAGAGCAUGACUUCAGCUGGGUGUGGUAGCGUGUGCCUAUAGUCCCAGCUACUCAGGAGUGCAGUGGCAUGAUCAUGGCUCACUGCAGUCUUGACCUCCUGGGCUUACGCCAUCCUCCCACCUCAGAUUCCUGAGUAGCUAGGAGUAGGUAGGGCCACAGACACAUCCCACUACCCUCAGCUAAUUUUUUUUUUUUUAAUUUUUUGUAGACACAGGGUCUCACUAUGUUGCCCAGGAUGGUCUCAAAACUCCUAACCUCAAGUGAUACUCCUGCCUUGCCCUCCCAAAGUGCUGGCAUUACAAUUGUGAGCCAUAGCCAUAUUACUUUUUGUUUUUGAGACAAAGUCUUGCUCUGUCGCCGAGGGUGAAGCACAGUGGCAUGAUCUUGGCUCACUGCAACCUCUGCCUCCCAGGUUCAAGCAAUCCUCCUACCUCAGUAGCUGGGAUAACAGGCAUAUGCCACAACACCCGGUUAAUUUUUGUAUUUUUAGUAGAGAUGGGGUUUCUCCAUGUUUGGCCAGGCUGGUCUCAAACUCCAGACCUCAAGGGAUCUGCCUGCCUUGGCCUCCCAAAGUGCUGGGAUUAUAGGCAUGAGCCACCACGCCCGGCCCAUAUUACACUUUUUAAUUGAAAAAAUUUUUUUCAUUUCAACCACAAAACAUAGAAUAUUUAGAUUAAGGUAGUAGCUAUGGGUAAUACUUUUUCUUUUUUAUAUUUGUAUUUUCAAAAUCUAGAAUAUGUGCUACUUUUAUGAUGGAAAAACAAAUUCCAUUCUCAAUGCAAUAUACCUCAACAAUGUGAAAACAACUUUAAUAAUUAUUAUUUUUAUUUUGCUUAAAAAGAUUUGUGGGACCCCCUAGAAUGACCUCAAAGGAGGGAUAACCUGAGCUACUUUUUACCGAAAUCAUGGAAAAUGGCAGCUCUCUGAUGCUUUAAGGUUUUCAAGUAUCGAUUUCAGGACGUCACUAAGGUGCCCAUCCCAAUUUUUAAUCUCUCUUAAUAAUGCAGAGAUGUACUCACAUCUACCAUAAUGCUUCUGGCCUCAAUUUAAGCCAUUUCCUCUAUUAUUUCCUCUGUGAAAGAAGGAAAAGAACCUUUAAAAUGUAUUUUAACAUCAAAAUGCUGAGAGGGUGGUGUGCCAAAGUGAUGAGACCGGUGAAUGGGUUAUUUCUUUGUUUCCCAUGAUUUAUAAUAAAAACAUCAACUUACACCC